CCUGAGUCUUAUCCAGUGCUCGAGCUGCAUAAACAAUCCCAAAACCAAUACCUAACUAACGGUCUCUGCGAAACUGAAAAUGGUGAGUUUGAUUUUGAUGGCUUCUUCUCUCUCAAAUCCUUCAUUUUAUUAUCACCAUCACUCCUUAAGAAUUAGAGCAUCUUCUGCUGCGCCUCGUGUUGAUCUCAACACUCUUCAAUCUGCUAUCUCUAAGAAAGACAGUAAUGCUGUUAAAGAGGCACUUGAUCAGCUAAAGGAGGAUGGGUGGGCUCAGCAGUGGAGUUCUCAGCCCUAUGUCUCUCGUCGUACGACAUCUGUCCGGGAACUAACAACUCUUGGAGUAAAAAAUGCAGAGAACCUGGCAAUUCCGAGCGUUAGAAAUGAUGCGGCUUUUCUUUUCACAGUGGUGGGAACGACAGGAUUUUUGGGUGUCCUUGCUGGCCAGCUUCCUGGAGAUUGGGGCUUCUUUGUUCCAUAUUUGAUUGGGAGCAUUUCUCUGAUAGUCUUGGCAGUGGGGAGCAUUUCUCCUGGGUAAGAGCUUGUUAUACAGAACUCAGGAGUCUUCUCCUUUUUAUUAAAUUGGAGAUCAGAAAUACAAAACUCCUCAUGUAUGCUUCUUUUUAUCUGCUAUAUAUUGCAGGCUUCUUCAAGCUGCUAUUAGUAGCUUUUCGUCAUUUUUUCCUGAUUAUCAAGACCGGAUAGCUAGACACGAAGCAGCUCAUUUUUUGAGUACUACAUUUGUUACAUUUACUAUAUAAUGAUUGGUAGAUUCCUCAUUCCGUCAUCAAUUCAUGCUAUAAAUCGCCUUUGAAUUUCAGUUGCCUAUUUGCUUGGAAUUCCUAUACUGGAUUACUCACUAGAUAUUGGGAAAGAGCAUGUCAAUCUCAUUGAUAAAAACCUGGAAAAGCUGAUAUACAGUGGACAGCUUGAUACCAAGGAUCUAGAUAGGUGCUACUAUGCUAAGCUACAAUGCUUCUGAACAAUUCAUAUUUGCUUAAAUUGCUCCAAAAUUUAUGUGGCACACAGGAGAUUAAGCUGCAUGAUAAAUUUUUUCUCAGGUUGGCUGUUGUAGCAAUGGCUGGACUUGCUGCAGAGGGUCUGCAGUAUGACAAAGUGGUUGGUCAAUCAGCUGAUCUUUUCACUCUCCAGGUGACUAAAAUUAUGAGAAUUUCUUAGAACACUCAGUUUACCAUGUCAUCUUAAACUAAGUCAAUCAAAUCAUUUUAUGGCAAUACAAUCGCGCAUAAACAUCUGAUUUAAUUUUUGUGAUCCUUUAACUUAUGGAUGAUGUGGAGUGAUUUGAUUGGUUUAGUGUACGGGUGACGUAGUAGACUGAAUCUAUCUAUGAAUCUCUCUAAAAUUAUACCUUGGCAGAAGUCCAUGGUUUUUAGAGAGAUCAAUGUUGAAUGUAGAACAGCAAGUUAAUGCAGAUUUUACCUUUUGUGCAGAGAUUUAUAAAUAGGAGCAAACCACAACUUAGCAAAGACCAGCAACUAAAUCUUACUAGAUGGGCUGUAAGUAACCUGUAUAAUAAAAAUGGUUAGUGCACAUCAAGAAAACAUUAGAAUGCUAAUGUUGAGAGCAAUUAAUGCAGGUUCUGUUUGCUGGAUCUCUCAUAAAAAAUAACAAGGUCCUUCAUGAAGCUCUAAUGAAAGCAAUGUCAAACAAGAUGACUGUAUUAGAAUGCAUCGAAGCGGUUGAGAAAGCUGCAUAAUUCUACAACCAAACCAGUUCCUUUUUUCCCCCUUUUAUACUUGCCAAUCAUUCUCCUAAUUUAUAAAUAUAGAAAUUAGGUGAUUUUGUUGCAAUCUCAGUCCAACUCGGCAGCAAAACCAUUCAUUCUGUGAAGGACAAGAAAUCAGAGGACAUGUUUGUGUACGUAUCUCAUUCAUAAUUCAUUGGCACUCCACAAAAGUUUGUGAAAAAGGCUUUUAUUGAAUGCAAAUAAGCACUCUGCAAGCCAUGAUGUAUUGUUGUAUGCAAGAUAGGAAAAAGAAAUGGAAGCAAUGGGAAGGAGUGAGAUGCUAAAUGAAAAUGAAAAUGUUUAUUAGACUAGUAAAAACUGAAUUCAAGUCAGCUGGUUUAUUGAUUCUACAAGCAACCGUGCAAGGAUUUAUUCGUGCAUGUUCA
rnacentral:misc_RNA from 1 species